GCCCACGUAGCUCAGUUGGUAGAGCACGUCACUCGUAAUGAUGAGGUCACCAGUUCGACUCUGGUCGUGGGCU
rnacentral:tRNA from 1 species